rnacentral:rRNA from 1 species
GAUGAACGCUGGCGGCGUGCCUAAUACAUGCAAGUCGAGCGAACAGACGAGGAGCUUGCUCCUUUGACGUUAGCGGCGGACGGGUGAGUAACACGUAGGUAACCUACCUAUAAGACUGGGAUAACUUCGGGAAACCGGAGCUAAUACCGGAUAAUAUUUCGAACCGCAUGGUUCGAUAGUGAAAGAUGGCUUUGCUAUCACUUAUAGAUGGACCUGCGCCGUAUUAGCUAGUUGGUAAGGUAACGGCUUACCAAGGCAACGAUACGUAGCCGACCUGAGAGGGUGAUCGGCCACACUGGAACUGAGACACGGUCCAGACUCCUACGGGAGGCAGCAGUAGGGAAUCUUCCGCAAUGGGCGAAAGCCUGACGGAGCAACGCCGCGUGAGUGAUGAAGGUCUUCGGAUCGUAAAACUCUGUUAUUAGGGAAGAACAAACGUGUAAGUAACUGUGCACGUCUUGACGGUACCUAAUCAGAAAGCCACGGCUAACUACGUGCCAGCCGCCGCGGUAAUAC